rnacentral:rRNA from 1 species
UACGUAGGUGGCGAGCGUUAUCCGGAAUUAUUGGGCGUAAAGAGCGCGCAGGUGGUUGAUUAAGUCUGAUGUGAAAGCCCACGGCUUAACCGUGGAGGGUCAUUGGAAACUGGUCGACUUGAGUGCUGAAGAGGGAAGUGGAAUUCCAUGUGUAGCGGUGAAAUGCGUAGAGAUAUGGAGGAACACCAGUGGCGAAGGCGGCUUCCUGGUCUGUAACUGACACUGAGGCGCGAAAGCGUGGGGAGCAAACAGGAUUAGAUAU